rnacentral:tRNA from 1 species
GCCUGGCUUACUCAGUUGGUAGAGCAUGUGACUCUCAAUCUCAGGGUUGUGAGUUCAAGUCCCACAUUGGGUA